rnacentral:lncRNA from 1 species
GAGCGACGCAGAAGACGGGUGAUUUCUGCAUUUCCAACUGAGCUGUCUUCCCUAAACUCAGCCUCCUGCCACCUGCCACAAGCUACCUACCAGAAGAGUUCACGAGAUGCCACGUGCUCCCACUCCAUGACAAGUGUGUGGAGGUUCUCCCUUCAUGAUGACUGCCACAGUGUGGCCUGGGCACCAGGAAACUGAAGGCAAGAGCUUGCGAUCCCUGCAACCUCAGUGGUGUGUGGCGGUAACCCUGCUCCCUCCUGUUUCACAUCCCAGCUGAAAACUUGGGAAAAUGAAAUCGCGCUCGGCCUGCCGUUGAUAGAGCACCUACUACAUGCCAUGGUCCGGUUAAGCACUUUAUGCGAUUGUUACUUCAUUUAAUCUACACAACAAUCCCGUGUGGACUCGAUUAACCUUACAGGGGAAGAGAAGGAGGCUGGGAAUAU